rnacentral:rRNA from 1 species
AGUGAACGCUGGCGGUAGGCCUAACACAUGCAAGUCGAACGGCAGCACAGUAAGAGCUUGCUCUUACGGGUGGCGAGUGGCGGACGGGUGAGGAAUACAUCGGAAUCUACUUUUUCGUGGGGGAUAACGUAGGGAAACUUACGCUAAUACCGCAUACGACCUACGGGUGAAAGCAGUGGAUCUUCGGACCUUUCGCGAUUGAUUGAGCCGAUGUCGGAUUAGCUAGUUGGCGGGGUAAAGGCCCACCAAGGCGACGAUCCGUAGCUGGUCUGAGAGGAUGAUCAGCCACACUGGAACUGAGACACGGUCCAGACUCCUACGGGAGGCAGCAGUAGGGAAUAUUGGACAAUGGGCGCAAGCCUGAUCCAGCCAUACCGCGUGGGUGAAGAAGGCCUUCGGGUUGUAAAGCCCUUUUGUUGGGAAAGAAAAGCAGCAGGUUAAUACCCCGCUGUUCUGACGGUACCCAAAGAAUAAGCACCGGCUAACUUCGUG